AACGAACGCUGGCGGCAUGCCUAACACAUGCAAGUCGAACGAGACCUUCGGGUCUAGUGGCUCACGGGUGCGUAACGCGUGGGAACCUGCCCUUAGGUUCGGAAUAACUCCCCGAAAGGGGUGGUAAUACCGGAUAAUGUCUUCGGACCAAAGAUUUAUCGCCUUUGGAUGGGCCCGCGUUGGAUUAGCUAGUUGGUAGGGUAAAAGCCUACCAAGGCGACGAUCCAGAGCUGGUCUGAGAGGAUGAUCAGCCACACUGGGACUGAGACACGGCCCAGACUCCUACGGGAGGCAGCAGAGGGGAAUACUGGACAAUGGGCGAAAGCCUGAGCCAGCAAUGCCGCGUGAGUGAUGAGGGCCUGAGGGUUGUAAAGCUCUUUUACCCGGGAUGAUAAUGACAGUACCGGGAGAACAAGCUCCGGCUAACUCCGU
rnacentral:rRNA from 1 species